rnacentral:rRNA from 1 species
AUUGAACGCUGGCGGCAGGCCUAACACAUGCAAGUCGAUCGGAGCGGCGGACUGGUGAGUAAUGCCUAGGAAUCUGCCUGGUAGUGGGGGAUAACGCCGGGAAGCGGGAGCUAAUACCGCAUACUAUCAGAUGAGCCUCGGUCGGAUUAGCUAGUGGGGUGGGUAACGGCCUACCAAGGCCACGAUCCGUACCUGGUCUGAGAGGAUGAUCAGUCACACUGGAACUGAGACACGGUCCAGACUCCUACGGGAGGCAGCAGUGGGGAAUAUUGGACAAUGGGCGAAACCCUGAUCCAGCCAUGCCGCGUGUGUGAAGAAGGUCUUCGGGUUGUAAAGCACUUUAAGUUGGGAGGCGUUACCAACAGAAUAAGCACCGGCUAACUUCGUGCCAGCAGCCGCGGUAAUAC